rnacentral:rRNA from 1 species
GCUGCAGUUAACGCAAUAAGUUCUCCGCCUGGGGAGUAUGCACGCAAGUGUGAAACUCAAAGGAAUUGACGGGGGCCCGCACAAGCGGUGGAGUAUGUGGUUUAAUUCGAAGCAACGCGAAGAACCUUACCAGGCCUUGACAUGGAUAUAAAUGUUCUAGAGAUAGAAAGAUAGCUAUAUAUCACACAGGUGGUGCAUGGUUGUCGUCAGCUCGUGUCGUGAGAUGUUGGGUUAAGUCCCGCAACGAGCGCAACCCUUGUCUUCUGUUACCAGCAUUAGGUUGGGGACUCAGGAGAGACUGCCGGUGACAAACCGGAGGAAGGUGGGGAUGACGUCAAAUCAUCAUGCCCCUUAUGGCCUGGGCUACACACGUACUACAAUGGCGCCUACAAAGAGCAGCGACACCGCGAGGUGGAGCGAAUCUCAUAAAGGGCGUCUCAGUUCGGAUUGAAGUCUGCAACUCGACUUCAUGAAGUCGGAAUCGCUAGUAAUCGCAGAUCAGCAUGCUGCGGUGAAUACGUUCUCGGGCCUUGCACUCACCGCCCGUC